rnacentral:rRNA from 1 species
GACGAACGCUGGCGGCGUGCUUAACACAUGCAAGUCGAACGGAAAGGCCUCUUUCGGGGGGUACUCGAGUGGCGAACGGGUGAGUAACACGUGAGUAACCUGCCCUUGACUUUGGGAUAACUUCAGGAAACUGGGGCUAAUACCGGAUAGGAGCUCCUGCUGCAUGGUGGGGGUUGGAAAGUUUCGGCGGUUGGGGAUGGACUCGCGGCUUAUCAGCUUGUUGGUGGGGUAGUGGCUUACCAAGGCUUUGACGGGUAGCCGGCCUGAGAGGGUGACCGGCCACAUUGGGACUGAGAUACGGCCCAGACUCCUACGGGAGGCAGCGGUGGGGAAUAUUGCACAAUGGGUGGAAGCCUGAUGCAGCAACGCCGUGUGCGGGAUGACGGCCUUCGGGUUGUAAACCGCUUUCGCUCAUGACGAAGCUUUGUGUGAUGGUAGUGGGUAAAGAAGCACCGGCUAACUACGUG